CAGCAGCCGCCGCGGUAAUACGAAGGGUGCAAGCGUUACUCGGAAUUACUGGGCGUAAAGCGUGCGUAGGUGGUGGUUUAAGUCCGUUGUGAAAGCCCUGGGCUCAACCUGGGAAUUGCAGUGGAUACUGGGUCACUAGAGUGUGGUAGAGGAUAGUGGAAUUUCCGGUGUAGCAGUGAAAUGCGUAGAGAUCGGAAGGAACAUCUGUGGCGAAGGCGACUAUCUGGGCCAACACUGACACUGAGGCACGAAAGCGUGGGGAGCAAACAGGAUUAGAUACCCCAGUAGUCCCUGUCUCUUAUAA
rnacentral:rRNA from 1 species